rnacentral:rRNA from 1 species
CCUACGGGACGCAGCAGUGGGGAAUAUUGCACAAUGGGGGAAACCCUGAUGCAGCGACGCCGCGUGAGUGAAGAAGUAUUUCGGUAUGUAAAGCUCUAUCAGCAGGGAAGAAGAAGGACGGUACCUGUGUAAGAAGCCCCGGCUAACUACGAGCCAGCAGCCGCGGUAUUACGUCGGGGGCAAGCGUUAUCCGGAUUUACUGGGUGUAAAGGUAGCGUAGACGGCGAAGAAAGUCUGAAGUGAAAGCCCGCGCCUCAACCGCGGAAUGACUUUGGCAACUUUUUUGCUGGAGUACCUGAGAGGCA